rnacentral:rRNA from 1 species
UAGGGAAUCUUCCGCAAUGGGCGAAAGCCUGACGGAGCAACGCCGCGUGAGUGAUGAAGGUCUUCGGAUCGUAAAACUCUGUUAUUAGGGAAGAACAAAUGUGUAAGUAACUAUGCACGUCUUGACGGUACCUAAUCAGAAAGCCACGGCUAACUACGUGCCAGCAGCCGCGGUAAUACGUAGGUGGCAAGCGUUAUCCGGAAUUAUUGGGCGUAAAGCGCGCGUAGGCGGUUUUUUAAGUCUGAUGUGAAAGCCCACGGCUCAACCGUGGAGGGUCAUUUGAAACUGGAAAAAUUGAGUGCAGAAGAGGAAAGUGGAAUUCCAUGUGUAGCGGUGAAAUGCGCAGAGAUAUGGAGGAACACCAGUGGCGAAGGCGACUUUCUGGUCUGUAACUGACGCUGAUGUGCGAAAGCGUGGGGAUCAAACAGG